rnacentral:rRNA from 1 species
UACAGAGGGGGCAAGCGUUAUUCGGAAUUAUUGGGCGUAAAGGGCGCGUAGGCGGCCUGACAAGUGGAAGGUGAAAUCCCUCGGCUUAACCGAGGAACUGCCCUCCAAACUGUUUGGCUUGAGACCGGGAGAGGUGAGUGGAAUUCCCAGUGUAGCGGUGAAAUGCGUAGAUAUUGGGAGGAACACCAGUGGCGAAGGCUGCUCACUGGACCGGUACUGACGCUGAGGCGCGAAAGCGUGGGGAGCAAACGGG